rnacentral:piRNA from 1 species
UGAGACUUCCACAGUUACUGGUUUUACUCG